rnacentral:rRNA from 1 species
CAAUAGCGUAUAUUAAAGUUGCUGCAGUUAAAAAGCUCGUAGUUGGAUUUCUGGUUGAAGCGACCGGUCGGGCGUUGAUUCGUCUGCACUGGAGUCGGUUUUGGCCAUCCUCUAGGAAAGUGCGUCUGGUAUUAAGUUAUCGGGCGUAUGAUCCUGGUCUUUUACUGUGAAAAAAUUAGAGUGUUUAAAGCAGGCCUUCGCCUUGAAUACAUUAGCAUGGAAUAAUAAGAUAGGACUUUGGUCUAUUUUGUUGGUUUGCAGACCGAAGUAAUGAUUAAUAGGGAUAGUUGGGGGUAUUUAUAUUCCGAUGUCAGAGGUGAAAUUCUUAGAUUUUCGGAAGAUAAACUUAUGCGAAAGCAUUUACCAAGGAUGUUUUCAUUA